AUUCGUUCUCGGGGCGGGGUGAAACUCCCCACCGGCGGUAAGAACUAACAGUUCAAGCCCGCGAGCGCUUUCGAAAAUUCGAAAGGUCAGCAGAUCUGGUGUGAAUCCAGAGCCGACGGUUAUAGUCCGGAUGAUAGAGAAUGGGU
rnacentral:ncRNA from 2 species